CCUAGAGUUAAAAAUUAUCUGGAUUCUUCAGCUUUAAGGCACAAAGACUACACAGGGAGCAGCUUCUAUGUGGCAUGCUGUGAUGGAGGUGCUUCAAGAACUGUGAUCCACAGGACACUUUUUCUCUGACAACAAUGAUUUUUCCCAUCAUCUGCUUCCUUCUCUGAGACCAUGGCAAGAUUUGAUUCAUGAAAGAAGGCUCAGUGGCUUAUAUGGCAGAAAAGAGCAGAGAACGGGAAGAAAAUCUAAAUAACCACAAGUACCAGGACUACAUAAAUGAAAGAUGAAGUACGUGUAAUGGAAAAAUGACACAGCAGCGAAAAGAAUGAACUGGAGCGCUCUACAGUAGCAGAGAUAGGUCUAAAUAAAUGGUUAACAAACAAACAAACAAACAAAAAACCAGCAACAGUUGGCCAUUGGCAUGUUUUCAGCCUUAUGGUUUCUUCUUUUCUAAAAUAUUAUGAGUCAAAUUAUACAAUAUGUGGCUUUUUAAGUCUGGCAUCUUCCACUUAGUUGAACACAUUUUCACAUCCAUCCAUU